AAACCUGUACGUCGUCCCUCUAGAUCCAGCCCUCAAUCCACGGUCAUCUGUUAUCCCCUCCUCGAGCUAAACGGCCACCCUUCCUGCACUCCAAACCCUAGGUCUAGUCGCAGCAGGUGGAUCUCGGCCUCUCACGCUGCCAUGGCCUCGUAGCACCCACAGCCGUAGUCCCUCUGCACGCGCGUCCCCGAUGCCACCCUCGUUUCCAUCUCCACCUUGCACUAUCCCCUUUGUACCAUCGACCUCUCCCUCUUCCAUGGGUUCCGCCUCCACUGCGCCGACUGUGUAUAGAGCCGCCCACCUGCCCCACGCCGUGUCGUCACCGCGUUGGGAGGGGGCAUCCGUCACCUCUAAUCCAAAUAAGUAAUCCCCAUCCCAAUCCGAUCCUAAAUAUGAGGAGGAGCUGUGGCCAGACAUGGGCGGCAGAGUAGUAUCUGGAUCCGCUGAACACCCACCGGUGGUAUCUAGCUUUCCUAUCAAUCAUUGGGUUUCAAAGGUAUGCUCCUAUUGUGUGUGUACUAAUUUUUAAUUUAUUAUUGUUCACUCUUGCUUUGUUUGCUUGUUGUUGAUGCAUCUCCUCUCGUACUCUACUGCAUUCAUUGAAGCACUUUGCACUUUCAUCAAGACAACUCAGAGAGUGUCUCGCUCAUGUGUUUGUAAUGGCCAAAUAAUAUCGAAUGUCUGGCCAUGUUUGACGCAUUAAUGUCUUUUGAGCAUUUUGUCAAACAGGUUCACAUCGUUAGGCAUUGUGUCUUGGGUAUUACUCCAUUAUUAAAUCGUGUUUGUACUGAAAAUUAAAUUUUGUAGGCAGCAUCAGUUACUCAUUUCUGGAGUGGGAACCUGUGAGAGUAAUUUGUUCUGCCAAUGUUGCUAUUCCUAUUUGCUAAUUAAGGCUACUGGGGUUAAAGAUUAUGGAUCACAUUUAUUGUUCUUUUUUAGGUACCCUGAAGACUCCAUUUCUGUUUUUAAUGAACGGUAACUAAUUCAUUGUGCCAUCUGCACACAAUGUUUUGAUAUCAUUGUCGCAUACAUCCUCCCUGUUUUGGGAUAUUUCUAAAAACUUUUAGGUGUUAACAUUUCUUCAACAUAGAAAAAGUUUUAGGUGUUAGCAUUACCUAAAUAUGGAUUUAGGUAAUUCUUCAUGUUGCUAUUACAAUCAUUGGUCAAAUUUAUUGUUCUGAAUUCCUCGUGAGUCAUCUAUAUCUACAGAAAAGUUCUGUCCAUAGAUGAAUAUGCAUCAUAUUAUAAAGAUAUAGACCCCUGGCUCUUUUCAGGACUUGGAAAGUUGGGCAAAUAGACAGUUACAUAUCUACCAAAGUGCACCCAUCAUAUGAUGUUUAUGUAUAUCGAGUUAACGGAGUAUUUGUUGUCAGCGAUCCUGUUGACUGGGGAAGAGAUCUACAUGUACUUCUUUCAUGCCUGGGUCUCACUAAUAGAAAACUUUCUUGGGUUGCAUUUGUUUGAUAUUCAUAGAAUAUCUUAAUGAGUGACCCAUAAACACCUUUUCCUCUAAAGUGCAUUUGUUUCAUGUGAAAUUGUGAUUACUUCCUAUUGAUAUACAAAAGUUCAAUAAUCUGAUUUUUUAAAACAAUACGAAAGGUACUCUGUGACAUCUCGUCUACUCAUGAACUUCCUAGGACUGAAAUAGUGGGUCAUAUUGAUGCCUUUCCUCUUCUUCCUCCUCCCGUCCUCUAUCUCUAGCACCCCAUCCAUCAGCACUCCUCCGCAUUGUUCUUGAUCCCAACCAGUACUACGAUUCUCCCCCAAGAUCAAAGGCCGAAGGAGAAGGAAGAAAGGUAGUUAUCGCCUCUCAUGUUGCUGUAUUUUCCUUAAUUGGCUUUACAUGUAAUUUUUUUUAAAAUUGUGCAGUCCAACUGGUGAACUCCGUCAAAUUUUAUCCCUUUCCCUCAAAACUUUAUCCUGUGUGUUAAGAAAUUGAUCACCGCCGGAUUGGGCUCUCGAUCCUCGACAUCUUUGUUUCUUUGUUUGACUGAAUUGGAGCAUGUUUCUACUUAGGAGUUUCUUUAGAUGUGACAAACUUGGUUAUGACAUGAGUUGAUAGGAGUUUCUUAUGAUUGCAUUUUUAGUGCUUGCAUACUAUCAGGCAUGCACAAAAAAAUAUGUUGUUCUUGACAUCAAAAACACUUGGAAUUCAUCAGCUUUGAAUGAAAGGAACAGUUGACCUCACAGGUAUGACCGGACUGCUAACCAAUGUUACUAUAACAUCGGGUGCCCUGUCAUGACUUCUCUUCCACAACCCUAGCCUGUAGUAUCAUUCCUCCAUUUCCCUAAGCUUGAAACUUGAAUGUAGAUCAAUUUACAUUUGGUGGCUGCAUAAGCUUUUGCAUUGUCGAUAUGGACUAUGACUACAGUUUGUCGUUCUGUCCUUGAAAACUGUAUGUUCUGCUACUAACAGUUUUUUAGUUUGUAGAAACAGUACGGAAGGCCCUAUUGUUAUGUAUUAUAAAGAAUAUUAGGUAACAAAAACUGGUAUGGCCCUACUGCUGGAUAAACAAAUUGUGGGAACAUGCCCAAAUCUGCACAAGUCAACCAGUGAUGUAACUGUAUAAUCAUGCAAAAAUCCAGUUUCUUGUCAUAUCCUCUAUAAGCUAUUCAACUAGCUGUCCAGUAAUACUCAGCCUUCACUAGAGGAACUAAGCUAUGGCUUUAUGUGGCACAAAUAUUCAAGCAAUCCAAAUAAGAUUAUCGCGAUGAGCCUAAAGUGCUUGCUAUCAUCACUGCUGCUGAUGUAAACGUGACCUCCUUCAGCAGUCUUCGUUUUGCCAGAUUGUAACUCGGAGAUGAACAGUUUUUUGAUUUCAAUUGAAGAUAGAAAAGGCAGCUCUUUAAUCUCAACCAUUGAACGACAACACACAACAUGAGGGCCAUGACUUUGAUUCUCAUUUAAUUUAGCGUUAUUAGUGAUGAGAUCGAUGAGUCUACUUAUGAGUCUGGUUUAUGAGUCAUCCUUUGUUUGUUUCAUACUGUCAUAGAAAAACAUCAAUUCACACAUUAUGUAAUGAAUUAAGUUGUGGAUGAUAUUUUGUAAUGGCACUACUAUUUUUAAUACAGACUUAUUUCAAAUUAUUUGUCA